GUGCUCGCUUCAGCAGCACAUAUACUAAAACUGGAACGAUACAGAGAAGAUUGGCAUGGCCCCUGUGCAAGGAUGACAUGCAAAUUUGUAAAGCAUCCCAUAUUUAA
ensembl:snRNA U6 U6 spliceosomal RNA